GCAGAAUUCAGUGAAUCAUCGAAUCUUUGAACGCACCUUGCGCUCCUUGGUAUUCCGAGGAGCAUGCCUGUUUGAGUGUCAUU
rnacentral:rRNA from 1 species